GACGAACGCUGGCGGCGUGCCUAAUACAUGCAAGUCGAGCGAGCUUGCCUAGAUGAAUUUGGUGCUUGCACCAGAUGAAACUAGAUACAAGCGAGCGGCGGACGGGUGAGUAACACGUGGGUAACCUGCCCAAGAGACUGGGAUAACACCUGGAAACAGAUGCUAAUACCGGAUAACAACACUAGACGCAUGUCUAGAGUUUAAAAGAUGGUUCUGCUAUCACUCUUGGAUGGACCUGCGGUGCAUUAGCUAGUUGGUAAGGCAACGGCUUACCAAGGCAAUGAUGCAUAGCCGAGUUGAGAGACUGAUCGGCCACAUUGGGACUGAGACACGGCCCAAACUCCUACGGGAGGCAGCAGUAGGGAAUCUUCCACAAUGGACACAAGUCUGAUGGAGCAACGCCGCGUGAGUGAAGAAGGGUUUCGGCUCGUAAAGCUCUGUUGGUAGUGAAGAAAGAUAGAGGUAGUAACUGGCCUUUAUUUGACGGUAAUUACUUAGAAAGUCACGGCUAACUACGUGCCAGCCGCCGCCGUAACAC
rnacentral:rRNA from 1 species